CCCCACCGCCGCGACUCGUAGAUGGGGAACCCACUUAUUCGGUAAAUCGAAUUCUGGACUCAAGACGGAGGGGACGCGGAUUUCAGUAUCUGGUGGACUGGGAGGGUUACGGUCCGGAGGAGAGAAGUUGGGUUCCUGCUAGGGACAUUCUGGAUCAGUCCCUUAUUGAUGAUUACUAUCAACAGAUCGUUGUUUUAUGGAUGUAACCUGUUGUGUUCCUGUCUCUUCGGCUCCUCGUGUCUCCUGGUUUGUCUCCGGCUGGAAGUUCGCCGUUGCAGUGUAUGUCUUCACUAUUCACCAACACUGGAUUCACCACUUCACGUCUGACCAUCGGAUCGAGUUGUCCAUGCAAGCCUGCGCUGCCUAGUCAUCAUCAUCAUCGGAGAUACCAUCACAUUCAGAAGGACCUGUGUACUGCAUUAGCAUCUUCCAGGAUUUCUGAGAACUGUGUCUGCUUCCCCAUUUUUCACUCUGAGACUGGUGCUAUUCAUCCUAAUAAAAGGAUCUGUUUGACUUGC
ensembl:lncRNA